UACGGAGGGUGCGAGCGUUGUUCGGAAUCACUGGGCGUAAAGCGCGUGUAGGCGGCCUGCUAAGUCUGAUGUGAAAGCCCGAGGCUCACCCUCGGAAGUGCAUUGGAAACUGGCAGACUGGAGUCCCGGAGAGGAGGGUGGAAUUCCUGGUGUAGCGGUGAAAUGCGUAGAUAUCAGGAGGAACACCGGUGGCGAAGGCGGCCCUCUGGACGGUACUGACGCUGAGACGCGAAAGCGUGGGGAGCGAACAGG
rnacentral:rRNA from 1 species